rnacentral:lncRNA from 1 species
ACAAUGAGUAUUUGGCCGACUAAGAGUAGGACAACCAGCUCAUGCACUGCGAGCAUGACAAAGGGGUAGCUUCGGUCGACCGCACGUGACGCCAGAAGCAGUGGGGAUGCUGGCUGAACGGGGUGGUGCUCCAUGAUGAAGGAGGAAGCAUUGACGACCAUGAAAGACAACCAGAUUUGCAGAGAAAGGAGGAAGAAGAGAAAAAACAAUUUUUUUUUAUUCCAUCUUAUCUUACACUUGUUGAUUGGUUAUUGGGCUUAAGUAAAACAACACGUCACGUCAGCAAUUGACUGGCUGUUGACAACCACUGAAUAUUGUCUCCCCUUCCUCUUCCUUUGCUGCAAGAGCGUGC